AGUGAACGCUGGCGGUAGGCCUAACACAUGCAAGUCGAACGGCAGCACAGGAGAGCUUGCUCUCUGGGUGGCGAGUGGCGGACGGGUGAGUAAUGCUUAGGAAUCUGCCUAUUAGUGGGGGACAACAUCUCGAAAGGGAUGCUAAUACCGCAUACGUCCUACGGGAGAAAGCAGGGGAUCACUUGUGACCUUGCGCUAAUAGAUGAGCCUAAGUCGGAUUAGCUAGUUGGUGAGGUAAAGGCUCACCUAGGCGACGAUCAGUAGCGGGUCUGAGAGGAUGAUCCGCCACACUGGGACUGGGACACGGCCCAGACUCCUACGGGAGGCAGCAGUGGGGAAUUUUGGACAAUGGGCGAAAGCCUGAUCCAGCCAUGCCGCGUGUCUGAAGAAGGCCUUCGGGUUGUAAAGGACUUUUGUCAGGAGGAAAUCCCUAGUGCUAAUAACACUGGGGGAUGACAGUACCUGAAGAAUAAGCACCGGCUAACUACGUGCCAGCAGCCGCCGUAA
rnacentral:rRNA from 1 species